UUUUAAAGACCUAGUAAUAGGUAUGCUUAAAGAGGAGCUUGCGUCACAUUAGUUAGUUGGUAGGGUAAAAGCCUACCAAGACUAUGAUGUGUAGCCGGGCUGAGAGGUCAAACGGCCACAUUGGGACUGAGACACGGCCCAAACUCCUACGGGAGGCAGCAGUAAGGAAUUUUCGGCAAUGGAGGAAACUCUGACCGAGCAACGCCGCGUGAACGAUGAAGUAUUUCGGUACGUAAAGUUCUUUUAUUAGGGAAGAAAAGAUGGUGGAAAAACCAUUAUGACGGUACCUAAUGAAUAAGCCCCGGCUAACUAUGUGCCAGCAGCCGCGGUAAUACAUAGGGGGCAAGCGUUAUCCGGAAUUAUUGGGCGUAAAGGGUGCGUAGGCGGUUAAAUAAGUUUAUGGUCUAAGUGCAAUGCUCAACGUUGUGAUGCUAUAAAAACUGUUUAGCUAGAGUUGGAUAGAGGCAAGUGGAAUUCCAUGUGUAGUGGUAAAAUGCGUAAAUAUAUGGAGGAACACCAGGAGCGAAGGCGGCUUGCUGGGUCUUAACUGACGCUGAGGCACGAAAGCGUGGGGAGCAAACAGGAUUAGAUACCCUGGUAGUCCACGCCCUAAACGAUGAGUACUAAACGUUGGGUAAAACCAGUGUUGAAGUUAACACAUUAAGUACUCCGCCUGAGUAGUACGUACGCAAGUAUGAAACUUAAAGGAAUUGACGGGACUCCGCACAAGCGGUGGAUCAUGUUGUUUAAUUCGAAGGUACCCGAAAAACCUCACCAGGUCUUGACAUGCUUUUGCAAAGCUGUAGAAAUACAGUGGAGGUUAUCAAUUGCACAGGUGGUGCAUGGUUGUCGUCAGCUCGUGUCGUGAGAUGUUGGGUUAAGUCCCGCAACGAGCGCAACCCUUGUUGUUAAUUGCCAGCAUGUAAUGAUGGGGACUUUAGCAAGACUGCCAGUGAUAAAUUGGAGGAAGGUGGGGGACGACGUCAAAUCAUCAUGCCCCUUAUGACCUGGGCUACAAACGUGAUACAAUGGCUGUUACAAAGGGUAGCUAAAGCGCAAGCUUCUGGCGAAUCUCAAAAAAGCAGUCUCAGUUCGGAUUGAAGUCUGCAACUCGACUUCAUGAAGUUGGAAUCGCUAGAAUCGCGAUCA
rnacentral:rRNA from 1 species